UACGGAGGGUGCAAGCGUUAAUCGGAAUUACUGGGCGUAAAGCGUGCGCAGGCGGUUUGUUAAGUCUGCUGUGAAAUCCCCGAGCUCAACUUGGGAAUUGCAGUGGAUACUGGCAAGCUGGAGUACGGUAGAGGAAGGUGGAAUUCCCGGUGUAGCAGUGAAAUGCGUAGAGAUCGGGAGGAACACCAGUGGCGAAGGCGGCCGUCUGGACCAGUACUGACGCUCAUGCACGAAAGCGUGGGGAUCAAACAGG
rnacentral:rRNA from 1 species